rnacentral:rRNA from 1 species
UACGUAGGGUGCAAGCGUUGUCCGGAAUUAUUGGGCGUAAAGAGCUCGUAGGCGGUUUGUUGCGUCGGCUGUGAAAUCCCGAGGCUCAACCUCGGGUCUGCAGUCGAUACGAGCAAACUAGAGUGUUGCAGGGGAGACUGGAAUUCCUGGUGUAGCGGUGAAAUGCGCAGAUAUCAGGAGGAACACCGGUGGCGAAGGCGGGUCUCUGGGCAACAACUGACGCUGAGGAGCGUAAGCGUGGGGAGCGAACAGG